UGGAGGGGGAUAACUACUGGAAACGGUAGCUAAUACCGCAUAACGUCGCAAGACCAAAGAGGGGGACCUUCGGGCCUCUUGCCAUCGGAUGUGCCCAGAUGGGAUUAGCUUGUUGGUGGGGUAACGGCUCACCAAGGCGACGAUCCCUAGCUGGUCUGAGAGGAUGACCAGCCACACUGGAACUGAGACACGGUCCAGACUCCUACGGGAGGCAGCAGUGGGGAAUAUUGCACAAUGGGCGCAAGCCUGAUGCAGCCAUGCCGCGUGUAUGAAGAAGGCCUUCGGGUUGUAAAGUACUUUCAGCGGGGAGGAAGGGAGUAAAGUUAAUACCUUUGCUCAUUGACGUUACCCGCAGAAGAAGCACCGGCUAACUCCGUGCCAGCAGCCGCGGUAAUACGGAGGGUGCAAGCGUUAAUCGGAAUUACUGGGCGUAAAGCGCACGCAGGCGGUUUGUUAAGUCAGAUGUGAAAUCCCCCGG
rnacentral:rRNA from 1 species